AACGCGUAAACAACCUGCCCUACGGAUGGGGACAACAGCUGGAAACGGCUGCUAAUACCGAAUACGUUCCGAAAGUCGCAUGACUAUCGGAAGAAAGGAUGGCCUCUAUUUAUAAGCUAUCGCCGGAGGAGGGGUUUGCGUCUGAUUAGCUAGUUGGAGGGGUAACGGCCCACCAAGGCGACGAUCAGUAGCCGGUCUGAGAGGAUGAACGGCCACAUUGGAACUGAGACACGGUCCAG
rnacentral:rRNA from 1 species